GAAGAGGUUUCCUGCAAGUCCUAAUUUCAUCCUGAAGGCAGCUCCGGCUUCUGUCUGAAGAUCUCCAGUGGGUACAAAGGGUAGCCGACUUUCUUCGAUCAGCACACAAGCGGAUGUUUGAUUUUAUUUAUUUGACAGAGAGAGACACAGCGAGACAGGGAACACAAGCUGGGGGAGCGGGAGAGGGAGAAGCAGACUCCCCGCUGAGCAGGGAGCCCGAUGCGGGGCUCGAUCCCAGGGCCCUGAGAUCAUGACCUGAGCCGAAGGCAGACGCUUAACCAUCUGAGCCACCCAGGCGCCCCUAAAAGGCCCCUUUUAAAAGACCAUUAAUCAUUUAAUGAUACCAUACCUGAUGCUUCAGCUGAGUGAUUUCUUUUUGACGUGAGCUUAUUUCAUUUUCUGCAAGUUUCCUUAAGUCUUCAUUUUCAUCUGCGAAAAUAAAGCAGCACUGAAUGAGGAUCUCGAGUACCGCAGUGGAGGGUAGUGUGGUCCGCUAGCGGGGUGGAGGUCACAGCCACGGAAGUCCUUUCCGGUACCAGCCUGGCUUUUCGUCUCCAAGAGUGAUCCGUAGGAGGGGCAUCGCUGUGUGUGUGUUUACUCCUCUUCCUCUUUUUCCGCCCAUGUCUCUCCGACGGUGGGUAAGGACGGGACUAGUCUACUCGAAGGCAACCAGGAGAGUGAUUUCCCCAAAUCUGCUUUCCUGCCUUUAUGUGCCACGAAAUUUACUUGCUUUCAAACGACUUCCUUCCUCACCGAGUCUCUUGCCCGUCCAUUCUCACUCCGAGUUAUCGAUAGCUACUUUUAAAAGAGAUUGAGUGAUUCCACGUCCCAAUAAACCACAGCGCAGCAAAACCUUCAGAGUCCCGCCUUCGGUAGCCCAACCUCCAUCUGCCGCCAAAAACCUUGAGAUCGCGGAUUGGUGCCAGGGAUACCGAGGUUUAUUGGUAUAACGUUUUGCAUUUUUUCAAAAGAGCUUUUCACAGCCCACCGGAGGGAUGGAUAUGGGGGUAUAAAUAUAACCAAGACAGUCCUGGGGAUGCAAGGGCUGACUCAAUCCGGGAAUUCCACUACCUGACUGGUUUGCGCAGUGUACUAAAUGUUUUCACUGUUGAGAGAGCUGAAAUACUGAACACGCUUGCAGUUUGUUUUUUAAAAAAUCAAGUGGUAAAUACGGGAGCCCUUGGCAAGGUUAAGUCAUCCCGAAGUCGUCUAAUCAAAACUACUGAGGUUUGGUAUAAAAUUCUUGGAAGAUGAGCUUGCAUUAUCUCUUAUUCACUCCUUAGCUCUACAUACAAAUGCAAAGUGAAGUGGAGGAAUGAGAUGACUCUCCAAAUUAUAUAAAGCAAAAAUAGAUUUUGCUACUUAAAAGCUCCAACUGAUUACCUCAACUAUUCGUUUCACUUUGUGUAUUCAAGCCACACUGCUUUAUAAAAUCGUUUUUCUUUAAGAUAGUGGUUGAAACCCAUUUUAAUUCUGAUCGGAGUACAGAACAGUACUGAUCAGGUCGUUUUUUAAUCUUUAUUAGAAUCAGCUAUUUCCCAAGUCUAAACUCUGAAUUUUUUUUAAACCAUAGAAAUGGUGGGAGUCACUUGAACGCAGUAUGAUAAAUUUCUCAGCUGAAUUCUCAAGUCAUUUCAAGAAUAUUAUUUAUAAAAGGUGAAAAAACCUGAUGGAACGCUGUGAAGAAUCCAGCCAGAAAUUAUUGUAUUCCCUAAGAUGUAUAAGCAAUUUAAGUAAUAUAAAUAAGUGUACCUUUUACUCCUAUAGUGUUACACCAAUGAGGAAACAGUAACUUGUCUAAGGAUACAUUGGUGAAUUCUUUAUUAAUUCAAAACAUUUUUAAAAAGUGUAAUGCAUGUGCAUUUUACAAUAAUAUCCAUAGGUUUCCACAGUAUCGUUAAAUGAAAACAACUGUAGUUUGAUUUACUUUGAAAACUAAAAAAAAAAAAAAAAAAAAAAAAUAGUGUGAGACUUCUGAAUUUCCUUACAUUAUUGUCAUGCUCAAAUUCUCUGUACAUAGGUAAAAUGAUAAAAUAGAUUAAAGGAUGGGGAAAUAAAAACCCAAAACAACUUAAAUUGGAGGAAAAAUCUAGAUUAUUCAAUUUAUAAGUACCUACAGUUAUUCUGACACUGCAAAAUAACCAAGCAUGUGUCUCAAGUUGCAUUCAUGCAUUCAAAAUUCCUUUAUGGUCCACUAUUAUGAGUGGACUACAAAAUAUGGAUAUAGAUUAUUAAGUACAAUGAACAUGGUAGCAAAAAACUGCACACAUUCAAUAUGAUAAAUUUUACAGAACCAACACAUUGAAAUUAUUUUUUUAUGUUUAGCAAACACCCUAAAAUCAUAUACAAGAAGCUGUAUUUAUGACAAAUAGGUUAAAGCAAGGGGGAAAAAUCAAGUCUUUUAUAUUAUUUCAAUAAUCAGUGUUCAUUGUUCUGUUGAGGGCAAUAUGGAAAAGCACUCAACACAAUGAUUACUGAUUUAAAUUACCUCUUAUGACAAUUAAACUAAAGUCUUUGCUAUCCAAGGGAUGUAAAGGAUAAAGUAAAGAUAGUUCAAGGGAAAAAAAUUCACUUUCACCUCCAUUAAGUGAAUAUUCAAGCUAACAUAGUUUUGGAGUUUUAUUUUCCCAUUGCACUGUAUUUUCUCCAUGGUAUUUGUUAGCAGUCAUUUAAUGGAACCUAACAGCAGUACUGAGGAAUCUGCUCAGAAUUUUUUUAGCUCAGCUUCGAUGUCCAGUACAUUUACCUCUAAUAUGAUCUCUUAA